AACAACAUUGCAAAUAAGAAUAUUAAGAAUAUUAACAGAGCUGUACAGGACUGUUGGCUGCAACACUUGGGACAUUUAGGUAAGAAAAGGUGUCACACUUUUCUGCCUCCGCAAAGCCAACUGAGAGUAGGAGGGUUAUAAGAGAAACCAAAAUCCCAUUAUUUGGAUGGAUAUGUGAGAAAUUCAUAGGCACUGUAAUGCUGUCACUAAAGAUAUUUCCAUAACUUUGAUGAGGAAAAGUGGA
rnacentral:lncRNA from 1 species